UAUAUCUACUACGAGGGCCUGUCGACGAGAUGCUGCUUGGUAGUAUGAGGUGGAGAACAAAUGUCAAGAGCAAACGGUGUGAUGAUGACGAGCAGAAAAGCAUGAUUAAGUGAUUCGAUAAAGUUUGUUCCUAAAAUAGUUCCUAAAAUUUGUUAUUUGCUAUUCUAAAUUGUAAAUCAACUUCAAAUAACUAUCUAAAACGUGACACCAAGUGACCCAGAAAGCUGAUCCUGCAUGCAAAGGACUCAGUCCGUUAAUUCACGUAAAAUUAGAGAUUUGGUAGUCACGAUUGCCAUCGUUAGAAGACGAAACGAAACAUAGACAGUUCAGUAAAACCUACAAACGUA